rnacentral:rRNA from 1 species
CCAGACUCCUACGGGAGGCAGCAGUAGGGAAUCUUCGGCAAUGGACGAAAGUCUGACCGAGCAACGCCGCGUGAGUGAAGAAGGUUUUCGGAUCGUAAAACUCUGUUGGUAGAGAAGAACGUUGGUGAGAGUGGAAAGCUCAUCAAGUGACGGUAACUACCCAGAAAGGGACGGCUAACUACGUGCCAGCAGCCGCGGUAAUACGUAGGUCCCGAGCGUUGUCCGGAUUUAUUGGGCGUAAAGCGAGCGCAGGUGGUUUAUUAAGUCUGGUGUAAAAGGCAGUGGCUCAACCAUUGUAUGCAUUGGAAACUGGUAGACUUGAGUGCAGGAGAGGAGAAUGGAAUUCCAUGUGUAGCGGUGAAAUGCGUAGAUAUAUGGAGGAACACCGGUGGCGAAAGCGGCUCUCUGGCCUGUAACUGACACUGAGGCUCGAAAGCGUGGGGAGCAAACAGGAUUAGAUACCCUGGUAGUCCACGCCGUAAACGAUGAGUGCUAGAUGUAGGGAGCUAUAAGUUCUCUGUAUCGCAGCUAACGCAAUAAGCACUCCGCCUGGGGAGUACGACCGCAAGGUUGAAACUCAAAGGAAUUGACGGGGGCCCGCACAAG